CCUACUCUCCUCUUAAUUGAGUUAGCAGCCGCUUUUGAGGAGUCAUGGUAUCGCUGAUAGCUGGUCCUAAUCGUAUUCCUACUAGGGACUCGAUAGAACAAGGGAGGGGUUAAUAGAGUCGUCUAUGUCGUCAUCGAAAAGUCUAUCAUUUUCCAAGUCGUUGUGUAUAUUGCUUGCAAGAAUUAUUAUUAGAAAGUUUGUAAAAGAAUGGCGAAUUAAGUAGAAACAUGUUUGAUUUAUAGUAAACAUUACACGUGAUAAGCAAUUGAAUGCAAUCAAAUGAAAUAUAGUUUACAAAAAUGCUUUCACGGAUAAGAAGCGCAGAGUGAAAUCUAAAUCUCAGGGUCAUUUUCCACGAGGUAAGGAAAUCUCCAGACAUUUGCAAGAUCGACGGCAAAUCCGAUGACAGAGAGAAGAAAAUCGACUUUGCCGGACCACGUUUCCCUGCCGUCGACGCUGCCGUUCAACUUUGGCGCAUUCUUC